rnacentral:tRNA from 1 species
UCCCUGGUAUCUCAGACGGUAAAGAACCUGCCUGCAAUGCAGGAGAUCUGGGUUUAAUCCCUGGGUAGGAAA